rnacentral:rRNA from 1 species
CCUACGGGUGGCAGCAGUGAGGAAUAUUGUUCAAUGGGCGCGAGCCUGAACCAGCCAAGUAGCGUGAAGGAUGACUGCCCUACGGGUUUUAAACUUCUUUUAUAAAGGAAUAAAGUGAGGCCCGUGUGCCUUUUUGAAUGUACUUUAUGAAUAAGGAUCGCGUAACUCCGUGCCAGCAGACGCGGUAAUCCGGAGGGUCCGAGCGUUAUCCGGCUUUAUUGGGUUUAAAGGUAGCGUAGAUGGGUUGUUAAGUCAGUUGUGAAAGUUUGCGGCUCAACCGUAAAAUUGCAAUUGAUACUGGCAGUCGUGAGUACAGUUGAGGUAGGCGGAAUUCGUGGUGUAGCGGUGAAAUGCUUAGAUAUCACGAAGAACUCCGAUUGCGAAGGCAGCUUACUAAACUGCCACUGACAUUGAUGCUCGAAAGUGUGGGUAUCAAACAGGAUUAGAUACCCGUGUAGUC